rnacentral:ribozyme from 1 species
UGUUUGUUUUUUGUUUUUUUGUUUUUUUUUUUGUUUUGUUUGUUUUUUGUCUUUAUUAUUAAAGGAAUAUUUUAGCACUGUAGUACUCGAACCAAGCAACGAAAGAGUCGAAGACAAACGAUAGCUAAACAGAAAUGAAACAAAAACUACUAACUCUUAUUU